GUCAAGUGACUAAGUGCAUGUGGUGGAUGCCUUGGCGAUUACAGGCGACGAAGGACGUGAUAGCCUGCGAUAAGCUUCGGGGAGCUGGCAAAUUAGCUUUGAUCCGGAGAUUUCCGAAUGGGGAAACCCACCGAAAGGUAUCGUAUUCUGAAUACAUAGGGAUACGAGGCGAACCGGGUGAACUGAAACAUCUCAGUAGCUCGAGGAAAAGACAUCAACCGAGAUUCCGAAAGUAGUGGCGAGCGAAAUCGGAGUAGCCCUCGCGUUUUAGCAGUUUGUAUAUCAGAACGGAAUGGAAAGUCCGGCCACAGCGGGUGAUAGCCCCGUAUGAGAAAUGCAGAUUGUGGAACUAGGCGCGAAUAGAGUAGGGCGGGACACGUGAAAUCCUGUCUGAAUAUGGGGGGACCAUCCUC
rnacentral:rRNA from 12 species